ensembl:miRNA
AGGUCUGGGCUCCUGCUGCCCAGUCUGAGGUCUGCACUCUUUGCCUCACUGGACCUAGCAGAGCUCCCACUU